GCUUUUUCUGAUGGAAGCGUCACACUGAAAUGGGGAUCAGAGCAAGCAACAAAAGAACUUACAGCUGCAACAGUGAACCUCAUAUACAAUCAACUAUGAGGCAGACAUCUGAUGAAGUAAAAGAGGCAUGGAGAAAGGAAGUGUUCUCGGCGACAUGAUAAAAGACACUGAAGACUCGUGACCCCCUUGGACCCUAACAAGGAAAAGCUAGGAAAUGCUUUUCAUUCUUCAUGUUUGCAUUAAAGUCCAGGAAGCA
rnacentral:lncRNA from 1 species